rnacentral:rRNA from 1 species
GCAUGGUCUUAGCUUGCUAAGGCUGAUGGCGACCGGCGCACGGGUGAGUAACACGUAUCCAACCUGCCGUCUACUCUUGGCCAGCCUUCUGAAAGGAAGAUUAAUCCAGGAUGGCAUCAUGAGUUCACAUGUCCGCAUGAUUAAAGGUAUUUUCCGGUAGACGAUGGGGAUGCGUUCCAUUAGAUAGUAGGCGGGGUAACGGCCCACCUAGUCAACGAUGGAUAGGGGUUCUGAGAGGAAGGUCCCCCACAUUGGAACUGAGACACGGUCCAAACUCCUACGGGAGGCAGCAGUGAGGAAUAUUGGUCAAUGGGCGAUGGCCUGAACCAGCCAAGUAGCGUGAAGGAUGACUGCCCUAUGGGUUGUAAACUUCUUUUAUAAAGGAAUAAAGUCGGGUAUGCAUACCCGUUUGCAUGUACUUUAUGAAUAAGGAUCGGCUAACUCCGUGCCAGCAGCCGCGGUAAUACGGAGGAUCCGAGCGUUAUCCGGAUUUAUUGGGUUUAAAGGGAGCGUAGAUGGAUGUUUAAGUCAGUUGUGAAAGUUUGCGGCUCAACCGUAAAAUUGCAGUUGAUACUGGAUGUCUUGAGUGCAGUUGAGGCAGGCGGAAUUCGUGGUGUAGCGGUGAAAUGCUUAGAUAUCACGAAGAACUCCGAUUGCGAAGGCAGCCU